AAAGUUAUAAGUUAAUAAAACUAUUAUCGUUCAAAGAUGAUUUUACCUCCUCCCUGGGUUGACUUUG
rnacentral:tRNA from 1 species